rnacentral:lncRNA from 1 species
CACUGUUUAGAGAGUCCAGGCAACCACCAGUCCAUCUGCCUCAACAACCAGGCCACUCAAAAGCCUCAUUUCAAGGGCAAAACAUCAGAAAGGAGGAGCAAUGCAAAAGGCAAAAAAGGCUGACACAGAGCAUCCAAGAGAUGAACUCUGGGGCAUCACACUGCAUUUUCCUACCCAGCCCAAGCCAGCCAUUCCUUCACCGAUGUGACCUAGGCUAGUGAGGAUUCAUGCUAUUACCUUCUGUAUUCCUGCCCCAAGCAGGUCUCACAAGAACAAAAUUGAGAAACAGAUUCACUCCCCUAAACUACCUAUGAGAAACAAUGGUCACUUUGGGAAAGAGGAAAGAGUUCCAGCUGCUGCAUUCCCAGAUUUUCUGCAAUGAGAAUACAACUUCUUUGAAAUUUUAAGUUUUUAAAGAAGAUCAUCCACAGUAACCCAUCUUAGCAAAAACCUCACCAGUCAUGCACAAAUUGAGUAAAUCAGAAGCAAUACUGUGUUCAAACUUGACUGAGUUUGAGUAAAUUUGUUAAUUCUUCUGAGCCACAUACUAGCUCUCCAUUGAUGACUCAAGUUCUGGGAAAUAAAGAAGACCCUCAAUAUUAUGCAACCCUUCAAACUUGACAGUGGAAAACAGCCACCUGGUACUUUUAGUUCAUUUGAGACUGAGGGAGACCCUCUGUCUACUCUGUUUUGACCCUGCCUGCAG